rnacentral:rRNA from 1 species
CCCGGUGGCCAUCGCGGGGCUGAUAACACCCGAUCCCAUCCCGAACUCGGCCGUGAAACUCCCCAGCGCCCAUGGUACUGCGCCUCAAGGCGCGGAAGAGUAGGUCGCCGCCGGGC